AUUGAACGCUGGCGGCAGGCCUAACACAUGCAAGUCGAGCGGAUGAAGAGAGCUUGCUCUCUGAUUUAGCGGCGGACGGGUGAGUAAUGCCUAGGAAUCUGCCUGGUAGUGGGGGAUAACGUCCGGAAACGGGCGCUAAUACCGCAUACGUCCUACGGGAGAAAGCAGGGGACCUUCGGGCCCUGCGCUAUCAGAUGAGCCGAGGUCGGAUUAGCUAGUUGGUGAGGUAAUGGCGCACCAAGGCUACGAUCCGUAACUGGUCUGAGAGGAUGAUCAGUCACACUGGAACUGAGACACGGUCCAGACUCCUACGGGAGGCAGCAGUGGGGAAUAUUGGACAAUGGGCGAAAGCCUGAUCCAGCCAUGCCGCGUGUGUGAAGAAGGUCUUCGGAUUGUAAAGCACUUUAAGUUGGGAGGAAGGGCAGUAAGUUAAUACCUUGCUGUUUUGACGUUACCGACAGAAUAAGCACCGGCUAACUUCGUGCCAGCAGCCGCAGUAAAAC
rnacentral:rRNA from 1 species